rnacentral:rRNA from 1 species
UCAAGCGAACAAGGGCGCAGGGCGAAUGCCUUGGCACUGGGAGCCGAUGAAAGACGUGAUAAGCUGCGAUAAGCUUCGGGGAGCUGCAAAUAAGCAUUGAUCCGGAGAUUUCUGAAUGAGGAAACUCACUCAGGUUCAUACCUGAGUACGUUGUACUGAAAUUCAAAAUAGGUACAUCGGGGGAACCGCCUGAACUGAAACAUCUAAGUAGGGCGAGGAAGAGACAUCAAACGAGAUUCCGUAAGUAGUGGCGAGCGAACGCGGAAGAGGGCAAACCGGGAGUAGAAAUACUUCCGGGGUACGGACUGCUUUUAGGACUCGAUCUGUUAACCGAACGGCAUGGGAAGGCCGGUCAGAGAGUGUGAGAACCACGUAGGUGAAAACGGAAAGAGCUGCGCAGAAUCCAGAGUACGGCCAGACACGUGAAACCUGGUCGGAAGAUGGGGGGACCACCCUCCAACCCUAAAUACUACCCAGUGACCGAUAGCGUAUAGUACUGUGAAGGAAAGGUGAAAAGCACCCCGGGAGGGGAGUGAAAAAGAACCUGAAACCCUGUGCCUACAAGCACCUAGAGCACGUCAAUGUGUGAUAGGGUACUUUUUGUAGAACGGUCCGGCGAGCGAUUGUAUGCAGCAAGGUUAAGGACUUAAGGUCUGGAGCCGAAGCGAAAGCGAGUUUGAAAAGGGCGUUAAGUUGCAUAUAAUGGGCCCGAAACCGGGUGACCUACCCAUGGUCAGGUUGAAGUGGAAGUAAAAUUCCAUGGAGGACCGAACCGACCUCCGUUGAAAAGGCGGCGGAUGAACUGUGGGUAGCGGAGAAAUUCCAAUCGAACCCGGAGAUAGCUGGUUCUCCCCGAAAUAGUUUUAGGACUAGCCUCAAGUUAGAUACCUGGAGGUAAAGCACUGAAUAGCCUAGCGGCCGAGAGGUUAGCGAAGCUUAUCAAACUCAGAAUGCCAGAGUAUUGAUGCUUGGGAGUCAGACAGUGUCAGAUAAAUGUCAUUGUCAAAAGGGAAACAGCCCAGAUCUACAGCUAAGGUCCCAAAGUCAGGUUAAGUGGAAAACGAUGUGAAGAUACGCAGACAACCAGGAUGUUGGCUCAGAAGCAGCCACUCAUUCAAAGAGUGCGUAAUAGCUCACUGGUCGAGCGUCUUUGCGCGGAGAAUUUAACGGGGCUAAACCUGACACCGAAGCUUAGGCAAUCCAGCAAUGGAUUGGGUAGGGGAGCGUUGUAUACGCGGAGAAACAGUAGCGUAAGCGGCUGUGGAGUGUAUAGAAGUGAGAAUGCCGGAAUGAGUAGCGCGAAUGCAGUGAGAAUCUGCAUGGCCGAAAGCCUCAGGUUUUUGGAGGAAGGUUCGUCCGCUCCAAGUUAGUCGGGAGCUAAGGUGAGGCCGGAAGGCGUAGCCGAUGCACAGACGGUAGAGAUUCCGUCACCACCAAAAGAGUUAAGCACAGGGACACAUUUGAAGUCUCAGAGCCGGGUGUUGGUUCCGGUAGAGAUCGAGGGAAGUUAGUACCGAAGUCUGGGAUGGAAGAUGGCGAGAAAAGCUGUGUGUAUUUCUGAGGUGCCCGUACCGCAAACCGACACAGGUAGGUAGGAAGAAGAUUCUAAGGCCAACGGGAGAAGGGUUGUUAAGGAACUCGGCAAAUUGACCCCGUAACUUCGGGAGAAGGGGUGCUCCAGAGAUGGAGCCGCAGAGAAUCGGCCCAAGCAACUGUUUACCAAAAACACAGGUUUGUGCUAAAUCGAAAGAUGACGUAUACGAGCUGACGCCUGCCCGGUGCUGGAAGGUUAAGAGGAGAUGUGCAAGCAUUGAAUCGAAGCCCCAGUGAACGGCGGCCGUAACUAUAACGGUCCUAAGGUAGCGAAAUUCCUUGUCAGGUAAGUUCUGACCCGCAUGAAAGGCGUAAUGAUUUGGGCACUGUCUCAACAGCCCGCCCGGCGAAAUUGUAGUACCGGUGAAGAUGCCGGUUACCCGCGACAAGACGGAAAGACCCCAUGGAGCUUUACUGUAGCCUAAUAUUGGGUUUCGAUGUUGCAUGCACAGGAUAGAUGGGACACUAGGAAACAAUCGCUUUGGCGGUUGCGGAGUGGCCGUUGGGAUACCAUCCUUGCGAUAUUGGAAUUCUAACCUGCGGCUCUGAAUCGAGUCGGGGGACAUUGUUAGGUGGGCAGUUUGACUGGGGCGGUCGCCUCCUAAAAAGUAACGGAGGCG